UACGUCGGGGGCAAGCGUUGUCCGGAAUCAUUGGGCGUAAAGCGCGCGUAGGCGGCCCGAUAAGUCCGCUGUAAAAGUCCAGGGCUCAACCCUGGAAAGCCGGUGGAUACUGUCGGGCUCGAGUCCGGAAGAGGCGAGUGGAAUUCCUGGUGUAGCGGUGGAAUGCGCAGAUAUCAGGAAGAACACCAAUGGCGAAGGCAGCUCUCUGGGACGGUACUGACGCUGAGACGCGAAAGCGUGGGGAGCGAACAGG
rnacentral:rRNA from 1 species